rnacentral:rRNA from 1 species
GCCCGCUCAGAAACUCAAAGGAAUUGACGGGGCCCGCACAAGCGGUGGAGCACGUGGUUUAAUUCGAUGCAACGCGAAGAACCUUACCUGGUCUUGACAUCCCGGAGACCCUUAGGAAACUAGGGGGUGCUUCCAUCUGGAAGAAUCUGGAGACAGGUGCUGCAUGGCUGUCGUCAGCUCGUGUCGUGAGAUGUUGGGUUAAGUCCCGCAACGAGCGCAACCCUUGCCUUUAGUUGCCAGCAGUUCGGCUGGGCACUCUAAAGGGACUGCCGGUGUUAAACCGGAGGAAGGUGGGGAUGACGUCAAGUCCUCAUGGCCUUUACGGCCUGGGCUACACACGUGCUACAAUGGUCGGUACAAAGGGUUGCCAAGCCGCGAGGUGGAGCUAAUCCCAUAAAACCGAUCGUAGUCCGGAUCGCAGUCUGCAACUCGACUGCGUGAAGUCGGAAUCGCUAGUAAUCGUGAAUCAGAAUGUCACGGUGAAUACGUUCCCGGGCCUU